rnacentral:tRNA from 1 species
AUCGCCGUACUGGAGGAUUGAGGCAAGCCUGUCAGUCGCCGGCGGUCGGGCGCGCCUCCCGCAGUUCGACCAGCGUGCCAUGCGUCGCGGCGGCG